GACGAACGCUGGCGGCGUGCCUAACACAUGCAAGUGGAGCGACGAACCAGGCUUCGGCCUGGGGCAGAGCCGCGAACGGGUGAGUAACACGUGGGUAACCUGCCCUGAUGAUUGGGACAACCCGAGGAAACUCGGGCUAAUACCAAAUGUGCCCUCCGACCAUAAGGUCGCUGGGGAAAGGAAGCUUCGGCCUCCGCAUCGGGAUGGGCCCGCGGCCCAUUAGCUUGUUGGUGAGGUAAUGGCNCACCAAGGCAACGAUGGGUAGCUGGUCUGAGAGGGCGACCGGCCACACUGGGACUGAGAUACGGCCCAGACUCCUACGGGAGGCAGCAGUGGGGAAUCUUGCGCAAUGGGCGAAAGCCUGACGCAGCGACGCCGCGUGAGGGAU
rnacentral:rRNA from 1 species